GACGAACGCUGGCGGCGUGCCUAAUACAUGCAAGUAGGACGCAGUUGCGAACGGGUGAGUAACGCGUAGGUAACUACCUAUUAGAGGGGGAUAACUAUUGGAAACGAUAGCUAAUACCGCAUACUAGUAGAUGGAACUGCGUUGUAUUAGCUAGUAGGUAGGGUAAUGGCCUACCUAGGCAACGAUACAUAGCCGACCGUGGAGUGGGAUCGGCCAACAUGGGACUGAGACACGGCCCAGAGUCCGACGGGAGGCAGCAGUAGGGAAGAUUCGGCAAGGGGGGGAACCCUGACCGGGAAACGCCGCGUGAGUGAAGAAGGUUUUCGGAUCGUAAAGCGCUGUUGUUAAGGAAGCGGUACUUAACCAGAAAGGGACGGCUAACUACGUGCCAGCCGCCGCGGUAAUAC
rnacentral:rRNA from 1 species